UCAACAGCCUGUUCUGUCCUUUGGAGUGUUCGAGGUACUCGUUACUCUCUUGCAGUUCAGCCACCAGGUUUUCUAGCUCCUCCACCGAAUGCAGGCUAGUUGCCAUACUGCCACACGGUGAUCCAACAACUUCAAACUGUGUGCUGUGUAGCUGGGCAAGUGUGCUGAGUGUAGGCGCUAUUUAGGUGAUAACACGAGGAGCAUUAUAGGCGCUAUACGUAGGUGAAAGGAUGUGGAGAAUAGGCACUUAUAUAUGUAGGUGAACUAGUAGGUUCAGGUAAACUAUAGUAAGUGUAGGCGUAGGUGAACUAUAGUAGGUGUAGGUGUAGGUGAACUAGUAGGUUCAGGUAAACUAUAGUAAGUGUAGGCGUAGGUGAACUAGUAGGUGAAGGCGUAGGUGAACUAUAGUAGGUGUAGGUGAACUAUAGUAGGUGUAGGUGUAGGUGAACUAGUAGUAGGUGAAGGCGUAGGUGUAGGCGAACUAGCAUUCCCGAUAAUCACUUGAUGUUGCUUAAUUCCUGCUUCAGCAUGUUUAUCCCACCGCUGCCACCAAUGUAACGGGUUUUGUCCGGGGUCCCUGCACCAUUUACCGAGCGGUCAAUAAAUCUCACGAGACUCCAAUCACCCGCACGGUUCUUUCAUAAACAGUGAAGCUAUCACUCCAACAUCAUCGAUCGCACUCAGAUCACGCUACUUUUCUAUAAUACACGGAAACACAGUGUCAUUUUACAUCAAAAGGUACUUGCCUUUAUUCACGAAGAACUCCAACUUUACAAUGUAACUUCCCUUCAACAGCUAGCAGCAGUACUCCGAUUCACCCUGUUUCACCUAUCUUAUCCUGCCCUCCCUAGCUACCUGCCCGAACACGUCCUC
rnacentral:lncRNA from 1 species